UACGAAGGGGGCUAGCGUUGUUCGGAAUUACUGGGCGUAAAGGGCGCGUAGGCGGCCCUCCAAGUCAGAUGUGAAAGCCCCCGGGCUUAACCUGGGAAUUGCAUUUGAGACUGAAGGGCUUGAGUUUCGGAGAGGUGGGUGGAAUUCCCAGUGUAGAGGUGAAAUUCGUAGAUAUUGGGAAGAACACCGGUGGCGAAGGCGGCCCACUGGACGAACACUGACGCUGAGGCGCGAAAGCGUGAGGAGCAAACAGG
rnacentral:rRNA from 1 species